rnacentral:rRNA from 1 species
AGUGAACGCUGGCGGUAGGCCUAACACAUGCAAGUCGAACGGCAGCACAGUAAGAGCUUGCUCUUACGGGUGGCGAGUGGCGGACGGGUGAGGAAUACAUCGGAAUCUACUUUUUCGUGGGGGAUAACGUAGGGAAACUUACGCUAAUACCGCAUACGACCUACGGGUGAAAGCAGGGGAUCUUCGGACCUUGCGCGAUUGAAUGAGCCGAUGUCGGAUUAGCUAGUUGGCGGGGUAAAGGCCCACCAAGGCGACGAUCCGUAGCUGGUCUGAGAGGAUGAUCAGCCACACUGGAACUGAGACACGGUCCAGACUCCUACGGGAGGCAGCAGUGGGGAAUAUUGGACAAGGGGCGCAAGCCUGAUCCAGCCAUACCGCGUGGGUGAAGAAGGCCGUCGGGUUGGAAAGCCCUUUUGUUGGGAAAGAAAAGCAGCAGGUUAAUACCCCGCUGUUCUGACGGUACCCAAAGAAUAAGCACCGGCUAACUUCG